UCCCGAGAGUUGAGACACACAAUGUGGGGGACUUCAUAACGUAGAAGACUAGAAGACUCUGGUGGUGCAGGUGACAAUUCUUGGUGAAUGAAAGUAGUAGAGACGAUGUGACUCAUCUUGUGCCAAUCAUCCGUCGCGUACUUUGGUCUUGUAUACAAAAGGAGUUAGAAAGAAAGGUAAUAGAGCAAUUAAGAGUAUGGGUGCGUUGGCUAACAAAAAAAAAUAUUAAAGGGAGACUUAGGUGCAAAAAGAACAGUGUUUAAGGAUAAGGAAGUGGUGGGGGAGAUCUGCCCAGCAACUGUAACAUGGGCUUUUGAUCCAUCAGCUAGGGCGAUGUCGUGGGAGGAUUUUGUUUGUGAAAAAUUAAAGACAAGUGAGGGACUAUGUGAUUAGAAGCACCAGAGUCCAAGAUCCAACAGAAGGAGAAUGAGAAAUACAAACUGUAGAAUUACCAGACUUACCAGACUGAGCGGUGACAGCAAAACCUUGUUGGGCUGCCUUGUCCUGGAGUAUGAGCAUUUAGGCACGGUGGUGCAUAAGGAAUUUGCCAUAAGGACGAAUGAACAGUACCAAUAGUAUCUGAACAAUAACAGAGGGGUAAAGAGAAGCCAAACAACAUGCGGAAAGUAACAAGGUACGAAUGAACAGUACCAAAAAGGAGCAAAGCCAAACGCCCUGUGUGGGAGUGGUGAAAAAUGAUGAAACACCACUGAAACAGGAAGAGGAAAGGCCAGCGAGUGCAAUGGAAGAAACGGCGCGUGUACUUCAUGUGCUGGCGAGACUGACAUUGGCAGAUCGGCCCGUGGAUGACCGGUUGGCGUCGCUGAUUCUGAAUUUGGGAAGAUUGGCACUUUCUGCUUCUAGUGCCGCGAUACAACCUCAAUCGAAGGUGGCCAUCGGAACAACCAGGUCAAUGGUGACCUUUGGGCCGACAGAAACGAGUUUAUCAGGCCCAUAUGAUGUAGACUCUAACACCAACUUGAAUUUUAGACUAUGUAUGAACUGAAUGCAUGAGGACAAUUGUUCCUCAGCUCUUUAUUUAUAAUGUUGAGUAUUAAAUUCAAUGAGCAAUCAAAUCCCAUAAUUGCAGGGAUUACAUAA